UACGUAGGGUGCAAGCGUUAAUCGGAAUUACUGGGCGUAAAGCGUGCGCAGGCGGUUUUGUAAGUCAGAUGUGAAAUCCCCCGGGCUUAACCUGGGAACUGCGUUUGAAACUACAAGGCUAGAGUGUGGCAGAGGGGGGUGGAAUUCCGACGUGUAGCAGUGAAAUGCGUAGAGAUGUGGAGGAACACCGAUGGCGAAGGCAGCCCCCUGGGUUAACACUGACGCUCAGGCACGAAAGCGUGGGGAGCAAACAGG
rnacentral:rRNA from 1 species